UGUUGGCUGAGUAGGCAUCUGCUAUUCGAUGAUCAAAUGUGCAUGCCACCACUAUUCCGCCGCAUCUAAGUUCUGUUGCCUGUAAGUAUUAUAUACAUACAAGUUUAAUUCUCGUUUAUUUCCAAAAAGAAAAGUAGUUUAGUUCUCACUAAAAAUGGCUCAAUAGGUAAAAACUAAAAUUGAAGCUUUAAAUUAACUAUUAAAGUUACUAAUAUUUAGCUACCAACUUCAAAUAUAGAAAGUAAUUAAAGUCAACAUGAAGAAUAUAAAAGGAAAAUAUUAUUUUUUUGUUAAUUAUCAUAGUUAAUAUAUUGUUAAUGAAUAAUUCCUUAGCCUUAUUCUAUGAUUAUUAACAAAUCCUGACUCUCAGGACAGUCAUCAUGUAUGCUACUACAUGAUGAUAUAUAUUAUUAUUUGUUUCAUAUUGAUUAAAUUGUGGCAUAGAUGAUCUAAAACUUAGACAUAUUGCAGUAUUCUAAUAGAUUUUUUUUUUAAAUCAUUUUGGGUGGUCUAAAAGCAGGUCGGAAAGGAAGUUGUGGCCCCAUCAAAUUUGUCGUCGUCUAGUGAAAAGGGUGAAUAGAAAUAUUUCCCAAGUCUUUUGGUUAUACUUCAGAUAUUAUUUCUGUGUCAGAAGGAAUGAAUCUGAGUGUGUUUCUUUGUUAUUAUUCAGACGUUAGGGAAAUGGUUGAAGUUAAAGUAGAGAAUCCUUUAUAGUACCUGAACUGAGAGAACUCCAUGUUUCUUCUGAGGUACGAGUUUGCCUUCAAUGCUUUCAUCAGGGUUAUGCAAGUCGAGGUCUCGAAGCUCAACAUCAGCAUAAGCUUCUACGAAAUCCACCCCACGGUUGUUGCAAAGCAGCUCGGGCUCGCCCACAUUGUUAGCCACAACCUCACCCGCAAAGGCGUAGUAGUAGACCAGAGCCUGAGC
rnacentral:lncRNA from 1 species